rnacentral:piRNA from 1 species
UGGCGCUGCUGGAAGGCCAACAUUC